GUUUGGUUUUGGCACGGGAGAGCAGCGGUGCAGCGUUGCUGCCGCCCCCCGUGGGUCUGAUUGGCACGGGAGCUCCGGCGGCCCGAGAGCACGGGCGCGCCUCGCUGGCUUCCCCCGGCGGCCGGCGGCCAGGCAGAGGCGGGAAAGCCGCGCGCCUGCGCCGUGGGAACCGAGGCCGGAGGCGAGAAGCGGGGAGCGGAGGGGGCCGUUGGAGCCGAGUAGCGUACAGAGCGGCGUGUGACGCGGGGACGCCGCGCGCUCCCAACGUCGCCCCGGUUUGACGCACACGGCACCAAACUCCAUAGAUUGUAAGCAGAAGAAAUCAAGGUCAAGAUCUGGAAGCAAGAAGAAAAUGCUAACGUUGCCUCAUGGUGCUGACGAGGUUUACAUUCUCCGAUGCAGGCUUCUAAUGUGAGGAAAAACAUGGAAUGACAAGUGUGGGAAAGAGCAAGCACUAAAUUACUGUCAGAAAAAUAAACGGAGCAGCACAGUGGUGCUCCGUGAUUUACGGGGGCAAUUAGUCACCACCCCACAGCGCUGCUGAGGACGGCCUGGCAGCAGACACAUCAGGCCCACGAGGAGGAAGAGGCUCUGCACUAAGCUCCAGAUGACUUUUCAAACAAGAGCAAGUCCGUGAGCACAUGAGAGUCUGUGUGUUCAUUCUGGGUGUCUACCCUUCACACUCCCCACCAGCUUGAUAAAUAAACAGACUUUUCGUGC
rnacentral:lncRNA from 1 species